rnacentral:rRNA from 1 species
UACGUAGGGCGCAAGCGUUAUCCGGAAUUAUUGGGCGUAAAGAGCUCGUAGGCGGUUUGUCGCGUCUGCCGUGAAAGUCCGGGGCUUAACUCCGGAUCUGCGGUGGGUACGGGCAGACUUGAGUGAUGUAGGGGAGACUGGAAUUCCUGGGGUAGCGGUGAAAUGCGCAGAUAUCAGGAGGAACACCGAUGGCGAAGGCAGGUCUCUGGGCAUUAACUGACGCUGAGGAGCGAAAGCAUGGGGAGCGAACAGG